UCCAGACUCCUACGGGAGGCAGCAGUCGGGAAUAUUGCGCAAUGGAGGAAACUCUGACGCAGUGACGCCGCGUGCAGGAAGAAGGUUUUCGGAUUGUAAACUGCUUUAGACAGGGAAGAUAAUGACAGUACCUGUAGAAUAAGCUCCGGCUAACUACGUGCCAGCAGCCGCGGUAAUACGUAGGGAGCAAGCGUUAUCCGGAUUUAUUGGGUGUAAAGGGUGCGUAGACGGGAAUGCAAGUUAGUUGUGAAAUCCCUCGGCUUAACUGAGGAACUGCAACUAAAACUACAUUUCUUGAGUGCUGGAGAGGAAAGUGGAAUUCCUAGUGUAGCGGUGAAAUGCGUAGAUAUUAGGAGGAACACCGGCGGCGAAGGCGGCCUGCUGGACCGUGACUGACGUUGAGGCUCGAGAGCGUGGGUAGCAAACAGGAUUAGAUACCCCCG
rnacentral:rRNA from 1 species